rnacentral:rRNA from 1 species
CCGAUGGUAGUGUGGGGUCUCCCCAUGUGAGAGUAGGUCAUCGUCAAGC